UACGUAGGGUGCAAGCGUUGUCCGGAAUUAUUGGGCGUAAAGCGCUCGUAGGCGGUUUUUCGCGUCUGGUGUGAAAAUCCAGGGCUUAACCCUGGACCUGCAUCGGGUACGGGCAGACUAGAGUGCGGUAGGGGAGACUGGAAUUCCUGGUGUAGCGGUGAAAUGCGCAGAUAUCAGGAAGAACACCUAUGGCGAAGGCAGCUCUCUGGGACGGUACUGACGCUGAGACGCGAAAGCGUGGGGAGCGAACAGG
rnacentral:rRNA from 1 species